UACGUAGGGGGCUAGCGUUGUCCGGAAUCAUUGGGCGUAAAGAGCGUGUAGGCGGCCCGGUAAGUCCGCUGUAAAAGUCAAAGGCUCAACCUUUGAAUGUCAGUGGAUACUGCCGGGCUAGAGUCCGGAAGAGGCGAGUGGAACUCCUGGUGUAGCGGUGGAAUGCGCAGAUAUCAGGAGGAACACCGGUGGCGAAGGCGGUUCUCUGGGCAUUACCUGACGCUGAGGAGCGAAAGUGUGGGGAGCGAACAGG
rnacentral:rRNA from 1 species